GUGCACAGAAACUCAACCAAUAUUUGUUGAACACAUGCUGAAUUAAAGUAAAAUGAAUGCAAAGGGGAUAAAAAGAAAGUUGAAGUGACUAUAUAAAAUCAGACAAAGACUUCAGGAAAAGUUUAUGGCCAGGAAUAAAGACAAACAUUAUAUAAUAUAAAGAAGCCAAGAUAUCAAGAGAACUUAAUAAUCGUAACUGUUGGCUAAAAUUGUUCUUGAAGCUCCUGCCUUCUGUUAUCUGGACAGUAGCCAUGCCUGUCCCAGGAACUUUCUGAAGGAUCCUAAGCUACAGCAGAUUAUACCAGAGAAAUGGAGUUGAGAUGACCUUUCCAAGACCAUCAAGAGACCACCUAAAAAUGCAUAGGGCAGAUGCUUCCCAGAUUGAAACAUGGAAAAAGGAGGUGAGAAACAAAUUGUAUUUUACAGAGAAUGGAGAUGUCAAAGCUUAACUAUAUCUUUAGUCAAAGGGCUCGCGAUCAAAAAUUAGGUAGAAUAAUAAAACAAGUCAAGUGUGAGGAGCAGUGAGAAAUUAGUAUGUGCCAUGGUCUUGAUUAGUUUUGCAGAUAGAGUUCCAAUUCUUAGAACUCCAAGUCAUUACAUAGUCCCAAAUUUUAGCAGCUUGGAGGAAGCCAAUCACUUAAAGAUCAGGGACUAGACACAUGGACCUAGGCUGGAGUUUAAGAUCUCACACUAAAGUCCCUUUUUAGGACAGUACCAGAUAUCUGUGCAGAUUGGAAGCUGCACAAUUCCAAUGGAUCCGUUCACACCAUGUCUAUA